rnacentral:rRNA from 1 species
AGUGAACGCUGGCGGUAGGCCUAACACAUGCAAGUCGAACGGCAGCACAGUAAGAGCUUGCUCUUACGGGUGGCGAGUGGCGGACGGGUGAGGAAUACAUCGGAAUCUACUUUUUCUUGGGGGAUAACGUAGGGACACUUACGCUAAUACCGCAUACGACCUACGGGUGAAAGCAGGGGAUCUUCGGACCUUGCGCGAUUGAAUGAGCCGAUGUCGGAUUAGCUAGUUGGCGGGGUAAAGGCCCACCAAGGCGACGAUCCGUAGCUGGUCUGAGAGGAUGAUCAGCCACACUGGAACUGAGACACGGUCCAGACUCCUACGGGAGGCAGCAGUGGGGAAUAUUGGACAAUGGGCGAAAGCCUGAUCCAGCCAUACCGCGUGGGUGAAGAAGGCCUUCGGGUUGUAAAGCCCUUUUGUUGGGAAAGAAAAGCAGCAGGUUAAUACCCCGCUGUUCUGACGGUACCCAAAGAAUAAGCACCGGCUAACUUCGUG